CGAUCGAGACCAGACUCAAACCUUUGAGAAAUAUAGCCGUUGCGAAAGGCCGUAGCUUCUCUAUAAAUAUUACAACACACCAACUCAAAAACACUUUAAUCAGACAAGAAACCAAACCAAACUCAAAAACACUAUAAUCAGACAACAAAACCAAACCAUUAUCCCUCCUUUCUUCUCCGAUUAUAUCGAUGUUGUCCGAAGAAGACCGUUAAUGUCAAAACCUCCAACCUCCAAACCUCCUUCCACUAAAACUCUCUCUCUUUUCAAUCCCGUUUCUGUGCAAUGGAGAAACCACCGGAAGAAACAGCCGGUGGCCCAGAGACCAAACCGGUUUCGAAAUCGAUCAAGGCUCGUUUCCUGAAGAAAGCCUCAAGAUUCGGUGGUGGAGCUCCCGGUUUACAUGGCCGCCGCUGCUGAAGAAGUGUUAAGAAGCUUGCUGCCAGAGACAACAAGAAGUCGACGAUCAUUCCCAGGCGCUUUUUUUUUUUUUUUGCCGAUUAGGAACUAUGAAGCUUUUACCAAUUUUUUUUUUCUUUUUAGAGUAAUUUUGUAUUAUAUAUUUGUAUUAUGUUAUA